UGGUUGUUGUUAGAGUCUAUACAUUUAGUAUGGACUCAACCACACUAGAAUAUCAUCAUUCAUCACUUUCUUUCAUUCAUUAAUUUGAAGGACCUUUCUUAUUUUAUACAUCAUACACACACAAAAACAUAUAUGAAUUAAAAGUUAUUCAACUUGUUUUGUGUUACACCUUGUAUGUGACACCCUUUUGUUGCACAAACUUCUUUUAACAUCACGACUGCAUGCACUAUACUAAUUGUUUCCAUAACAAAUGUCUUUUUCAUGUUGCUGUUGUUGCACUAGGUGCGUACUAGCAUUUGUUCUAAUCAAACUUCUUGAUGUUUUGCAGGAAUUAUUGUUAAAUGUAACUUUUAAAAUUUGUAUAUGAAAAUGCAUAUCAAUAUGUUAAAUUUUAAACUGUACAUUUUUUCUUCUUAAAAAAUCAAUUCAGAUCAAGCAGUUUGGUUUCAGUUUAAUUUUAACUUUAAAAUUGCACCGAACUAAAUCGUAAAAAAUUUCGAUUUCACUCAAAACUGUACCGAAACGAACCAUUCGCACCCUAAUUCAUUACUCUAUUCGAGAUUCCCAAACGCUCAAUGAAACCCUUGUGAGAAACCCCAAUUCACCAGUCCAAUCCAUCGAUACUCCGCUACAAGUUGAAUAUCCAACGAACCAUCGGCUGCUGUGACCUUUGCACCGGCGCCGACCAGCUCCGCUACAAGCUCUGCGCCUCUCCGCCUCAAGGCCUCAUUUGUUUCAGCAAACGGUUCCUCGCCUCCUCUCAGCUCCGCGAGCCUUCUGCCUCCUCUGGCUCUGUCCAGUACUGGUCCUGGUCCAAGCCGCAAGGUGAUGUCAAGAGCUUCCCAGAAUAACCGAUCAAUCCACUCGCUGCAAACAGCGAAGGCAUGUACUUAUCGAUUGUUUCUCGAUAGCAUUUUUGUUCAAUCUGCCGAACUUUACUAAUUUGUUUAGUAUUUACAUAAAAUGUGCACUGUACUCCGCAGGUCCAGUGAAUGAUAUCUUUGCAUUAUACUGUA